GGUCAAGCGAACAAGUGCAUGUGGUGGAUGCCUUGGCGAUCACAGGCGAUGAAGGACGCGGUAGCCUGCGAAAAGCCCCGGGGAGCUGGCAAACAAGCUUUGAUCCGGGGAUGUCCGAAUGGGGAAACCCACUCCGUAUGGAGUAUCCAUGACUGAAUACAUAGGUCAUGUGAAGCGAACGCGGUGAACUGAAACAUCUAAGUAACCGCAGGAAAAGAAAUCAACCGAGAUUCCCAAAGUAGUGGCGAGCGAAAUGGGAUGAGCCUUGUACUCUUUAUUUGUAUUGUUAGCCGAACGCUCUGGAAAGUGCGGCCAUAGCAGGUGAUAGCCCUGUAGGCGAAAACAGUAUGAAAGAACUAGGUGUACGACAAGUAAGGCGGGACACGUGAAAUCCUGUCUGAAGAUGGGGGGACCAUCCUCCAAGGCUAAAUACUCGUGAUCGACCGAUAGUGAACCAGUACCGUGAGGGAAAGGCGAAAAGAACCCCGGGAGGGGAGUGAAAUAGAUCCUGAAACCGCAUGCAUACAAACAGUCGGAGCCUCUUUAUGGGGUGACGGCGUACCUUUUGUAUAAUGGGUCAGCGACUUACGUUCAGUAGCAAGCUUAACCGUAUAGGGCAGGCGUAGCGAAAGCGAGUCCGAAUAGGGCGUUCAGUUGCUGGGCGUAGACCCGAAACCAGGUGAUCUAUCCAUGGCCAGGAUGAAGGUGCGGUAACACGUACUGGAGGUCCGAACCCACUAACGUUGAAAAGUUAGGGGAUGAGCUGUGGAUAGGGGUGAAAGGCUAAACAAACCUGGAAAUAGCUGGUUCUCUCCGAAAACUAUUUAGGUAGUGCCUCGUGUCUCACCUUCGGGGGUAGAGCACUGUCAUGGUUGGGGGGUCUAUUGCAGAUUACCCCGCCAUAGCAAACUCCGAAUACCGAAGAGUGCAAUCACGGGAGACAGACAUCGGGUGCUAACGUCCGGUGUCAAGAGGGAAACAACCCAGACCGCCAGCUAAGGUCCCCAAAUAUGGCUAAGUGGGAAACGAAGUGGGAAGGCUAAAACAGUCAGGAGGUUGGCUUAGAAGCAGCCACCCUUUAAAGAAAGCGUAAUAGCUCACUGAUCGAGUCGUCCUGCGCGGAAGAUGUAACGGGGCUAAGCCAUAUACCGAAGCUGCGGAUGCGAGCUUGCUCGCAUGGUAGGAGAGCGUUCCGUAAGCCUGCGAAGGUGCCUUGUAAAGGGUGCUGGAGGUAUCGGAAGUGCGAAUGCUGACAUGAGUAGCGAUAAAGGGGGUGAAAGGCCCCCUCGCCGUAAGCCCAAGGUUUCCUACGCAACGUUCAUCGGCGUAGGGUGAGUCGGCCCCUAAGGCGAGGCAGAAAUGCGUAGCUGAUGGGAAGCAGGUCAAUAUUCCUGCACCGUCGUUAGAUGCGAUGGGGGGACGGAUCGCGGAAGGUUGUCCGGGUGUUGGACGUCCCGGUCGCUGCAUUGGAGAAGGCGCUUAGGCAAAUCCGGGCGCAGGAUUCAAGGGUGUGGCGCGAGCGACUUCGGUCGCGAAGCAAUUGGAAGUGGUUCCAAGAAAAGCCUCUAAGCUUCAGUCUAACGAUGACCGUACCGCAAACCGACACAGGUGGGCGAGAUGAGUAUUCUAAGGCGCUUGAGAGAACUCGGGAGAAGGAACUCGGCAAAUUGGUACCGUAACUUCGGGAUAAGGUACGCCCUUGUAGCUUGACUGGCCUGCGCCAGGAGGGUGAAGGGGUUGCAAUAAACUGGUGGCUGCGACUGUUUAAUAAAAACACAGCACUCUGCAAACACGAAAGUGGACGUAUAGGGUGUGACGCCUGCCCGGUGCCGGAAGAUUAAAUGAUGGGGUGCAAGCUCUUGAUUGAAGUCCCGGUAAACGGCGGCCGUAACUAUAACGGUCCUAAGGUAGCGAAAUUCCUUGUCGGGUAAGUUCCGACCUGCACGAAUGGCGUAACGAUGGCCACACUGUCUCCUCCCGAGACUCAGCGAAGUUGAAGUGUUUGUGAUGAUGCAAUCUACCCGCGGCUAGACGGAAAGACCCCAUGAACCUUUACUGUAGCUUUGCAUUGGACUUUGAACCGAUCUGUGUAGGAUAGGUGGGAGGCUAUGAAACCGGAACGCUAGUUUCGGUGGAGCCGUCCUUGAAAUACCACCCUGGUUUGUUUGAGGUUCUAACCUUGGUCCGUGAUCCGGAUCGGGGACAGUGCAUGGUAGGCAGUUUGACUGGGGCGGUCUCCUCCCAAAGGGUAACGGAGGAGUACGAAGGUACGCUAGGUACGGUCGGAAAUCGUGCUGAUAGUGCAAUGGCAUAAGCGUGCUUAACUGCGAGACCGACAAGUCGAGCAGGUGCGAAAGCAGGUCAUAGUGAUCCGGUGGUUCUGUAUGGAAGGGCCAUCGCUCAACGGAUAAAAGGUACUCUGGGGAUAACAGGCUGAUACCGCCCAAGAGUUCAUAUCGACGGCGGUGUUUGGCACCUCGAUGUCGGCUCAUCUCAUCCUGGGGCUGUAGCCGGUCCCAAGGGUAUGGCUGUUCGCCAUUUAAAGAGGUACGUGAGCUGGGUUUAAAACGUCGUGAGACAGUUUGGUCCCUAUCUGCCGUGGGCGUUGGAUAUUUGAAGGGGGCUGCUCCUAGUACGAGAGGACCGGAGUGGACGAACCUCUGGUGUACCGGUUGUGACGCCAGUCGCAUCGCCGGGUAGCUAUGUUCGGAAGAGAUAACCGCUGAAAGCAUCUAAGCGGGAAACUCGCCUUAAGAUGAGAUAUCCCUGGAGGCUUGACCUCCUUGAAGGGUCGUUCGAGACCAGGACGUUGAUAGGUCGGGUGUGUAAGCGCAGUAAUGCGUUCAGCUAACCGAUACUAAUUGCCCGUAAGGCUUGAUCCU
rfam:Burkholderia multivorans ATCC 17616 DNA, complete genome, chromosome 1.